GAGGAGAGUCGAGGAAACAUCCAGCAGAGAAUCCAGGACAGAGAAGAAGAUGUGAAGCUGCUCCAACAGGAGGUGGAGGCUCUCAACGGCUCUGCUGAUAAAGCUGUGGAGCACAGCCAGGAGAUCUUCAGCCAGCUGAUCCGUCUGAUGGAGAAACGCCGCUCUGAGGUGGAGCAGCAGGUCAGAUCCCAGCAGGAACGUGAAGUGAAUCGAGUCAAAGAGCUUCAGGAGAAGCUGGAGCAGGAGAUCACUGAGCUGAAGAGGAAAGACGCUGAUCUGCAGAAGCUCUUACUAACAGAGGACCACAACCAGUUUCUGCACAGCUACCCCUCACUGUCAGAACCGGGUCAACCUGCAGACUCACCCAGAAUCAACAUCCGUCCUCUGAGAUACUUUGAGGAGGUGACAGCAGCUGUGUCAGAGCUCAGAAGGAAAAACUCCAGGAUCUUCUGACAGAGACGUGGACAAACGUCUCACAGGCAGUGACUAAAGUGGAUGUUUUACUGUUAGAACCACCAGGACCAGCAGAACCCAAGACCAGAGCUGGUUUCUUAAGAUAUUCACAAAGAAUCACACUGGAUCCAAACACAGUAAACAGACAUCUGAUAUUAUCUGAUGGAAACAGAAGAGCAACAAGGACAAGAGAAGAACAGUCUUAUCCUGAUCAUCCAGACAGAUUCACUUAUUAUUAUGUUCAGGUCCUGAGUAGAGAGAGUCUGACUGGACGUUGUUACUGGGAGGUGGACUGGAGAGGGGGCGGGGUUUAUGUAGCAGUCGCAUACAAGACUAUCAGGAGAGAUGGGAGAUCAGAUGAUUGUUCAUUUGGAAGAAAUGACAAAUCUUGGAGGUUAGUCUGUUCUAAAGACAGUUAUGGAUUUGAUCACAACAAAGUCGGCACUGAUGUCUCAGGUCCUCGGUCCUCAACAGUAGGAGUGUACCUGGAUCACAGAGCAGGUAUUCUGUCCUUCUACAGCGUCUCUGAAACCAUGACUCUCCUCCACAGAGUCCAGACCACAUUCACUGAACCGCUACAUGCUGGACUGUGGUUAAACUGGUCUGUUGGAGACUCUGCUGAGUUUGUAGAAGUGAACUAAAGAGAAUUUUGAGUCCAUCAGACCAAAAUCAUGGACUGAGAUCCUUGAACUCUUGAAAUGUUCUGGUUUGUAAAUGUUUGUGGAUCAGUCUCACCAAAAACUCUGGGUUUAGUUCUUCAUUUCAGCUUUUUGAUUCUUUUCUAAAGAUGCUGAUUUGGUCGCAGCUUUAAGGACAGUGAUUGUGGAGAACUUUGAUUGUUUGUAUUUUUCAUGUUGAAAAAUCUUCAUACAGUUUGAUAUCAACAACAUCAAGAUGAUGGUUUGUUCAAAUCACCUUCAGUUGGUGCAGAUGUUGAAGGUCUGAGACUUUAGAAAAAAGUGAGGUCAAAAUCACAGAAAAAGGAUGACCUUAUUUCCUGUCCCAAAUCCAAGCGUCUAAAGUCUUUCCAGUCGUCCCCAAAAACUCUUCAGAUGAUCUGUUUCUUUCUCUGUUUGCUGAAUAUUUGUGUUCAUGUGAUCGAUGGAUAUUUCUGUCUGCUUCUGUUGGAUCAGUGUGUUUGUAAAGACAUCUAGAAUCAGACUUUGGACAGAUCUACAUGUUGUUAUGAGCUUUUCAAUCACUCUAAUAAUAAUAAUCACAUUUAUUAGUCCGACUGUUUGGAUGUUUCUGACUCAGCUCAGAUUGUGGUCAAGUCUCUGGUUGUGGGUAAAAAAAAAAAACAAUAAAAUUCAUGAAACUGAGUCACUGAAAUCACCUCGCCUGUUUUUCUUGCAGUUGAAGCCGAGUGUCAUCACAGCGACUGUCGGCGACUCUCCCACUGAGUGCGUACAACGCUACUGUGCAAUGUUGGUUUCAGGAAGUGGAGAAAAAGUCACAGAAUUACUGAGAACUUUUGGGCUUCAAAGUUUUCCAUAUUUAUACAGUCUGUGGGUUCAUGUUAUAACCGGUCUGUGUCUGAAAGUAUAUCGACACAGAAGGACGUUGCUGCAGUAUCAGCGAAAAGUAACCGCGGUGAAGUUAGUUUAAGGUUGGAUAUUCGACAGACAAUCAACGGUGAAUGUCCAUCGAAUAUCCAACCUAAAACUAACUUCACUGCAGUCGAAAAGUAAAGAGUCUGACCCUCAAUUUUCACCGUCCGCCAAUUCCUACUAGAUCUGUUAGUGAGGUGAAUUUCGUGGCGGAUUACGGACAACAGGAAUCCUGAGAACUCGCAAGAACCCUGUGGAUUCACGUUCAAUCUUGUGAUAACAAGUUGUCUCUAUAAAGACAGACACAUAGACAUAUAAGCAGUAGAUUGUGUCCUUCCAGAGGAGGAAAUCUACUUCUAGACUUCUAGAAUCAGCAUCUCCUCAUCCAUGGUGUCAUCGGGGUGAAAUGACGUCUAAAAACCUUUCACUUGUUCGUCAAUCGUGUUUUAUUUUGAAAAGAAGCCGGAUGUUUUAUUUUGUGUCUGUGCCCGACUUCCUUUCCAGCACGGGUUAAUCUGUGCUGAAUUUAUCCGCCAUGCUCCGGCGUCCAGAAAACAUAGAACUCUUGUGAUCAGCUGAGGAGUCCGGCGAUCCGCAGAGGAACGGAAAGAAGUCGGUGUAAAUUGACACGUUAACUUGAAUGGUUAAGAUCAGCUACGAUCGGAGGAGACGACCUUUUAGGAGACGAUCAGGAUGAAGGUGGAGAUUAAGGGUUCUCGUGAUUCCCGGUGUCUGUAAUCCCCCAUGAAAUUUUCCUCACAAAUGGAUCAGGUAGGAAUUGGCAGAUGGCGAAAAUCGCCGCUGUUCCGGAUGUGAUGAAAAUCGGGGGUAAAAUUUUCCAUUUGACUGGAGUUGUUUUCCUGUAACCUGCUCCAAAGAUAAAAACAGUUUUCGACCGUGUUUCAUAAAAACCAUAGAAAGUCUCUAUCUGUUUCAGUAGACCAGCUAGGCGCUCCACAAAGGCCACCUUCUACCACAUGAGACCAGGUUGUUAAUGACCAGUACUCUUCCUCUGGAGGACAUCUGUGGUAGCAGCCAUCUCCACCCACCUCCCACCAUCCUCAGUCUCUCCAUCUCCGUCCACAGCAGCAGCAGCAGCAGCAGCUCUCCACUCCCGCCCGAGGCCACGGCUGACUUUCUCUGCAGUUUUCUGUAAUAUAGCACAGAGUGCAGACGAGCCACCUCCUCCUCAGAGAGGCGGGUGUGCUAAGGUUGACCGGUUUAACAGCUGCUGGGUGAUACACAGAAAGUCAUUUGUUAAAAUCUAAUUGAUCGCUCCAUUUGCACCCGACACUCUGUGGAUGUUCUGUCAGCUGGGUGAGCACGAGUGAAGAACAGAUGCUGUCCAUCUUAGAGAGAAAGAAAACUGCUGAGGACACGAUGAGACGCAGAGUGAGUUUACACGGAGGUUAAAGAGAGAGAGAGAGAGAGAGAGAAACUGAUUAUUGGAAAUGGAAAAAAAACUUCCUCCUGGAUGCCCUUCCAACAGAUUAAACUCAAAUUAUGAGCUCUGUCUGCUUAUUGUGCACUAAAUGUGUAAAAUAUGAUCACAUCUCCAUAGUUAUUUUUUGUUUCAUGUGUGUUUCCUGUUUUAUUUUGAUACUCACCUCUGUGUCUCACAUCAGAUCCUCCACUUCCUGUCCUCUUGUGUUUCCAGUGUGUGAUUAGCUGCGCGAUUGCACGUGAAUCUGCAGGUUCUUGUGAGUUCUCGCGAUUCCUUGUGUCCAUAAUCCAGCACAAUAUUUGCUUCACAAAUGGAUCCGGUAGGAAUUGGUGGACAGCGAAAAUUGCUGCCAUUCCAGAUCAGAGCUAUUUCAGAUGAGGUGGAAAUUCAGGGAUAAUGUAGCACCUGAAUGCCCUUCCGGUGAAUUUUGAGUGAUCAGAUAUCCUUUAUUACACAGAAUCCAUUCAGAUAACCUGCAAAAUUUUGAGCAAAGUUUAAAAUGAGGUUGUUGUUUAGAUUCAUUUUAAUGUUAAAUGAACUUAUUGUAUGAUCCGAUUGACAUUUAAAGGCGGCGCCACUUCAGAAACGUACUCUGAAAUCCACUCGCUUUGUGAGACCGACAGCUCUGAAAGUGUGACCUUGUUUUCAUGGACUCAGUAAUGAAGCUGAUGUGUUAACAAACAUGAACUGACGAGGUUUCUCAUGUUUUAAGAUCUUCAUUUCAGUUUCAUGUGAUUAUAUUCAUGCUCUCUGUUUGUCUUCUGCUCCGUUCACCGACUCUUUUCCUUCAGACACUAUAGAAACCCCCUCAGUAACCCUCAUUACCGAGACCUCUCUCUGUUUCAUUUUCACCUCCUCACUGGGACCAGACUCUGUUAUCCCUGAGCAUUAUCUGCAGCUGAGUUCUCACCAUAACACCUAUGUACUAACACCUGCACCUGCUUCAAAUGCACUGGACCCUCUGCAGCCUCCGAGGGGGUCCUUGGGGUGCAGCUGCAAAAGCUGACCGACCAUGUGAAAACAGGGCCGAGGCCAUGCCUGCGGUCCCUGCACCUCGGAGCCGUGCAAUUAUUUCAAAUCAAAGCAAUCAGCCGCCAACCCGGAGCGCGAUUCUCACCCGCUGAGCCGCGACACACGGGUCUCUAUCAGCACUCGUCCUGACGCCGCCCACCUCCGUCUCUCACCUUGCUCUCCCCGUCACCCUGACCCCAGUCCUUAUAUACCACCACACACCUACAUAUUAUCAUCAGCUGUAGAUCGCACAUGUUGAGGAUGUAACAGCCACACACACGCGCGCUCAGAAGGAGGCUCUCGCUCCCUGAACAUUAGUGGCGGAGAGAGCGAGCAGCUAAUUAUAAAACCACUCUGGGUGCCUGGUUGUUCCUCGGCGUGGCUGCUGUGUCGCUCCAUGCAGAGUGGGGAAAAUGAGCCUGUCAGCCCACUCCCAAACUGCUGUGAUGAGUGCAAAUGAGGUAAGGCCCUGGAAGCCUCUUGGGGAGCUCCAUGAGGGACGGUGCUGCUGGAGGGUGUAAACACACACACACACUCGUACACACACACACACAUGUGAACAUGAAGCACACACCGACGGCUCUGAUUUGUAAGCUGUCAGGCAAAGUGGGUCGAUAUGUGACAAGCCAGUGGGACUUUCAGUUCCUGGUGCCAGCCUGCACAGUGUGAUCAACCAACAGGUCUCUGGCACGCUGGAGGCUGGGUUCACUCACCCAAAACUGCACAAAAACAUCAAGUGCAACCUCAAUUCCAAAAAGAUGGGACACACCGAGUAAAAAUGUUUAUAAAAAUGGAGAAUGAGGAUUCGCAAAUAAUUCAAACUUUAUAUUUGAUCAACAUUGGUGCAGGAUGUUGUUGUUUCAUGGAAAUACUCAUUUUAUAUCUGAUGCCAGCAAACAUUUGGAAACAGAUGAGACAGGGAGAUGUUUGCUAUCAUGUUGCAUCAGCUCUUCUUUCCACAGACGUUUGGCAGCUGAAGAGACCAGCUGAAUGUGUUUUUGAAAGUCCUGUAUCAGCACCACAGUUCAGGGUCUCCUUUGGUCCUGGUUUUGGGGUCAUGAUGCUCCAAAUGUUUCCAAGUCAGGACCGCAUCAGUCCAGGACUCUUCUCCUACAGAGCCAUGCUGUUGUCAGAAUGUGGUUUGGGAUCAUCUGAAGGUCUUCCCUAAAAGAGUCUUUGUCAAUUCUUUGUUGAAAGGACAACUGGACUUACUUGAGACGAAACGUCCCAAGUAAGUCCAGUUGUCCUUUGUCUGUGUCGUCAACAUUUGAACAUUUUUGAGCGGUCCGCUCUUUCUGACUGUAAACAAAGCCGUUCUCCACCUCCUCUAACCUGAUUGGUUGUGAGGCAAAUGCCGCUCCCCCGUGUCGUUCAGGAGCCCAAACAAAGUUAGCGUGCUACAAUAUCGGACAGUAGAAACCAACCAGAAAGUUCGGAAAAUUGUCUGAAUCCUCCUUUGGCCACGACUGCCGACACAAGCAAGAAAACAAAGUAAAUACCGGAGACUCUGGAGGAAUAACGGGCGCUUAAAACGGAGGUAGAGCGGACAAGAGCUAAAAAGCCGGGUCAACAUAAACCAUGGGGGACGCUUGGGGAUCUUGGUGACCCUGUAACCUUUCUGCUGGACAGGUAAACCGCUUUAACAAAGUAAGACAAGUGUCUGUAACAGAAGUGUUUCUUGUCAAACGGACCUGCUGUAGCGUGUUGUAGCGCCAUCGCUAAACUGUCCUCCCUCGGGUCCUGGACUAUGUCACUUUAUCCUCGUUGUAGAAGUCCUGCAAACAUUGUGUUUGCUGGUAGUCUGUUGGCAUCUACAGUAGCACCAAUGCUUUUGACUUUCACCUUGACUGGGCCCCAUUUGUAAUGAUCUGAAGUAUUUAUCUGCAUUAUAUCUGAAUUUAAUUGGAACAAUACGAGCGAGCAGGAGCGUCUGUUUGUGGGCGGGGCUUGCUGGAGCAGAGGGGAAAACUGGUUGGGAGGGGUAGAGUUUACAUUCAAGAUUUCUCCUAAAAACUGGAACUUCCUCAGAUCCUGACUACACCGCCUUUAAGGUCAGCAGCGUAGUUGAAUGUUGGUCGUAGUUUGAGGCAGAAACAGUAAAUGAACAGAAUUUUUCUGCUUGACUUGAUUUGAAAAUAAAAACAGACUUUUCCUGAGCUCCUGGGUGAUGACGGUCAGGGGCAGCCCCCCCCCCCCCCCACUCCACUGAGACAAACUUGUGACAGGAACUUUGAGGAGCACCCCUGAUUUUCCCCUCAUUAACUCCCACCAGCGUCUGAGCUCGUUUCAGAGACGCCGCCUGUACGCUCGCCGUGAUCACAGCCUCACAUGGGCGCAGGCUAGACACCCUUUGAUUCCACACUUCUCCCAUCCCUCUCUUUUCAUCUGCAUCCCUCCCCCCUGCCUCCCUCUCUCUGGUGGAGUAUUAUUAGCGGCCUUACAGGUUUUUUUAAUUUCAUUUUAGUGAUUGACAGCCGAGGUGAUACCUCCCCUUCAUUUGCAUAUUCUGCCGUUUACUCCCCGUUCCUGCCGUUAAUGGCGGUGAUUCCCAGAAUGCCGCUCCUGAAUUAGUAUGCUCCAGCCUGGGAGUCAGGGCUGCUAAUCAGGCUGUUGGUGCGAGGAGAAGGACAGCUUCAAAUUACAUCCUCUGCAGUCAACAGGAGGUGCACAUGAAAGUGCGACGUCCUGCCGCUUUUCUGCGAGCUGAGGAAGUUUGCAGAUCGACAGUGACAGCACCCCGCUUACCUCUGAGACACCCACAAGAGCAUCUCCAAUUAAAAGCCUCCUGUGAUUUCCUCGAUUAAUAAUAAAUGCCUCUGAGCUCGACGGAGCUGUGAUUGGUAUGUGUCUGUGAGACGUUUUAGUACAUGUACACGUUUAGAUUUGCACCUUCAGAGCGGAGUGCGGUUGCAGUGCAUGUGUGCAUAUAUCUCUUUUUUCCAGGAGAGCCUUCAUACGCCUGCUCCUCUGAUGUGCAUCCACUGCGGUGUUUGGUUUCAUGUGGUCUCCACCUCCUGUCUGUGGUGGUAGUUACCUCAUAAUCUCCACUGGAAAGCCAUAACGUGUCUCUGUGGAAACUGAAGACGCCACAUUGGAUUUCAGGAGGAAAUCUGAAGAGGAGCCUCUCCUCUCACCGCUGGGGUAGAUGCCGGGAAGCAGGAGCCGGUUUUCCAGGAAAAACGUGUCGUUCGAACGUUUUGUUCCCUUUCUGCACAAACACCAGAAACACCUACAAGUCUUUAUUUAGGGGCAGACUUUGCGAUUGCGAACUUGAUUGCAGAUUACGGGUUUCAUGCCAACCUUGUACUUGAAUUCAGAAAAGGGCGACAUGUAGAAGUUUGAGUUCGCAGAACAGAGCUGCACUCCCAAUAACAAUAAUUGAAAAACUGCGCAGGUCAAAGCUUUUUCGGGGUAAUUUGCACUUAUGAAAGGAACCAACCAGCUGCAAAGAAACUCCUCCAUAAAUAAGUCUUGAAAAUGUUUUCACAGAGGACAAUGAGGCUGUCUGGUGAGGGCAUGGUGUCAAAAUGACUCAUCUACCUGCUCGCACCGUUUCUCAUUUAACAACGCAGUCCAUCAGGGUGGCGUGUCUUAGCUACUCAGGCUGAAGCUAAUGCAUCCUGAUUGCUGGUUUAUUUACAUCCUCUAUCACUUCAGCGCAGCCUUUUGUAUUCAAACGUCUCCGAGUGUCUUUCAGUCACUCCUCCACCUCUCCAUUCUGCAGAUUCAACUGAUUUCGCUAAUGCCUCCAGGACUUAAUCAAUAUGCAUGACUUAAGGUGUCAGUUAUCAACACGCGGGUGGUUUUUCAGGCAACAUUAUCCCUCCCUGCUGCUGAUUUGUACCUGAAUAAUGUCGUCUAUGGAUCGGUGCUGAGUGCACGUGGCAGGUAAUCAGCAGACAUUCACUGUGCGUGUCAGGCGAACGGUGAAAUUCAUCCCAGAGGCCCAAAGGGUAAGAUGCACAUUUGUGACCACUGCAUGCUGUAGGACAUGAGGACAGCUGUGACAAACACUGGUGAUAAAUGGAGAGGGUACGACCUUGGAGGACAUUCCCCUUCUGUGCGGGGGGAAAAAUACAGAUAUGUUACUUUAGCUGAGCAUGGACAGGUACUUUAUCGGCAUUAUUUGAAGAUGUACAACAAAACUUUAAUUGGCAGCCUAAAUGUGUUGGAAAACAGAAGCAUAAAAAUGUGUAUUUCUGUGUCUAUAACUGAAUCAAUUUGUAAAAUGAGUAUCAAUGUAAAUACUAAUAUUUUAAGGUUAGGAGCUAAAAACAUGUUUACAUCUGACCCACUGAAAAGACGUCCAGAAAAAGACAUGAUAAGGGCCUUUUUGUUCACAUUGGGGGACAUCCAGAGGGCGCUUUAUUUAUAUUUUAUCAACCUGAAAGGCAUCCAGAGGGGCACUUUGUUUAUAUUUUGUUCUACCAAAAGGCAUCAGUCAGUAUUUUGUUCCAGUUUUAUACACUUGAAGAAACAGCUUGGAGGGACUUUGUUUAUAUUCAAUCCACUUUAAAAGACACAUUUUUUUUAUUUACUGGUAAGGGCACUUUGUUUACAUUAGACAAACCACAGAGGCAAACAGAGGGGUACUUUGUUUACAUUAUACAAACUACAAAUCAAUUAGACUCUGAAUCUUUGAGUUUUAGACACUCGCAGGAUAUCCAGAGGGCACUUUUUUAAAGUUUAGUCCACUUUGAAGGCACAAAGAGGGCACUUUGUUUACAUUUAUCAGCUGUGGGGGAUCCAAAGGUCACUUUGUUCACAUGUCCAAUGACAGAAUAUCUAAAGGGCACUCUGUUUACAUUUCUUCUACUGUAGAGAGGGGCGCUUUGUUCACCUUGAUUACCCAGAAGGACACCCAGAGAUCACUUUGUUUACAUACAAAUGUGGAAAAGCACCUUUUGAGAUCAUUUUUCAUGUUAUAACUACAGUAAGUUCACCGGAGAGUGUGUUUUCAAUGUUAAUCUGGUGAAAAAGUGUUUCAGAGGACACUUCUGUGGCCUUUUUCAGACAUAAGGACACCAGAGGAGGUGAUCACCCCCUUCUUAAUAUCUUUAGUACACUGCUGGGACCCAUAGGGAUUCUUUGGCUUAUGAAGACAGCCUCAAGUUGACCUUAGAGGAACCGAAGCUCUUCGCACUUUGGCAUCAGCUACAUUUUUCAACACUGGAGGUUCCUGUAAACUUUCCAGCUGAAAAAAAAAAUACAGACUGUCACUUAAAUAGCUGGUGCCAGUGCCUCUGCCAUCUCUGACUCACUCAGACAUUGAGAAUCGCUGUAUUCUUGACAGGGAUUUUAAAACUCAAUGUAGUACUUGAGUGCUGUAAUGGCGUCUUACUACAGUUACUUAAAUCCUCUGCCUGUAGCCGUUCAUCCUCAUUACUUGUCAAUCACACGUUCAGUCGUCUGGGCUACAUCACGCUUUCGUCCAAUAAUAUCAGACUCAGCACACCUGGAAGAGAAGCAGCCACAAUUAUAAAGUACAAUAGACGUAUACAAAAGGAUUCAGCGACAACAAGAACAAAUCUGUAACACCUCCUCUGAGCUGAUAUUCACUCCGACAGAUGUACCGUGAAGAAAUGACUUCCCAGACCUCAAUUACAGAGUUGGACAUGAGCAGAGAUGUGAAGAAAUUACAAAUCAGCCUGUUGUUGUUUGUCCUUAUUACCAGACGAUGUGAAUAAAGACGUUGGAUGGGUUUAAUUUAGCCUGUCACUGCUGAUCUGGGUUUACAGGAAAUCAGACUUAGCAGAGUGAUGCUGCAGUCUGCGGGGAUCUCUGCCUGUUUCAGACCAGAAUAGGUAAGUCCUACUGCAAGAGGUGGGAAAUAAACUGCAGAGGAGAGGAGGCUGCAGAGAGGGAUAAUAUCGCUGUUUUCUUAGAGAACAGAUCGACAGACGUUCAUCGUACUUAAAGGAACCCUUAUUUAUAAAACCUCCUCCUGCAGCUGUCAACAACCCAUCAAAGCACCAAUGAUGGACUUAGAAAGUGAGUCAAAUCAACGCCAAUUUUCACAUUCAUACUAUUUUCUAUUUAAAAAAAGAGUUUCUAUAUUUAAUCCAAACAUAAAAGAAUAAGAAACAUUGAAAGAACUUUUACUGGUAGAAAACCUGGGCUGCAAAAACAUUGACCAAUGGGAGCCAUCCGUCCCAGGCAGCUCCUAUUGGUCAAUCUCCUGCUCCGCCUCUCCAUCCAAUCACCUCGCUGUAUUCGACACACCCCUCUCCCGUAGUUCCGACUCGUCCCCUCCCACUCUCCCGGCCCUCCUCGGAGCUGUGAUGGUGAAGGACGCUAAAAAAACCACUUCGGCUCGCCCCACCGCCAAAAGAGGGAAGAAAAUGCAAACCGACAGAUAAAAAGGGUGGAGACAAAGAGGAAAUGUGACCAAGCGAGGAAUCUAGCUGGAAUCUACAUCGGGUCAUCCUUGGAGCGGUGGAGAAAACAGACGCCGUGACAGCAGAGUUUUCGUUGAACAGGUCAUUUUUAUCUCCUCCUAUCAUGGCUCAUGUUACAUAAAUAACUCUGAUUAGUCUCUGACAUGUCAACACGGUAGCUGUCCAGGCAGCUGCAGACGGCGCUCGCUAGCAGAGCUGGCGUUUACUGCUGCUAGUCACUAACAAUCCGACAUGGUGAAUCCUAUUUGAAGCUAGCGUAGGAUCUUCUGCCAGCCGGCUUCUUGAUCUGACAGAGGGGGUGUGUCGUGGCGAGGGCGAUACAGGUUUGGGGGGGGCUGGACGCUUUUUUCAGAUCUGCCUCAACGGCUCAGUUUUUUUAACUGCUUCUCAGAUCAUCAACCAGGACUUUAAUGCACGAAACUCAAACUUGUUCUGUGAACGGUUCGUUUGCACCGACAGCGAUCUUCUUCACCAAAUGAGACAUUUGACAUUUGGAGACGAUGCAGCAGCAGCAGCAUCAUAUUUAGUCCUAUUUGGAUAUUUGAAUGCUACAGUUUUAUACCCGAACAGCAGGAGCUGGACGUUUUGAUGACCAUGCCUGAGAAUAAAAGCCUCUGCAAUCCGACUCUAAUUUCAACAAUCAUACAGGGAGAGGAGAGCUGUGAAGAAGACGACGCAGGGAUGGAUUUUGUGAGCUGACGGAGCUUCAGUGGAGCAGAAAUAGCCGAGCGAUGGGGGGCCACGACUCUCACAGCGGCUCUAACUUAAAAAUGUCUUUCCUCCUACAGUAUAUGUGCUGAAUACACAAGGUUCACACUCUGAUGUCAGGGGACUACUGAUUUACCGGGUCCAACACCAGUUUGAGGGAAAGAGGGCUCUCCAGAGGACUAAAUUACUACACUCAUCAUAAAACGCCUCCUGAAAUGUACUGAACUGAAGACAUUGAUAAUGAGGGUACUAACUCGGUCAAACCAGUAAGUCAUUUCUAGAAGUUCCAUAAGCUCUUAUUAUGCCUUUUUUAUAGCGCUGUAAAAAGAUAUCUAGCAAUUAAAAACGACAGAGCUUUAUCUUUUUCUUCCCAACACUAUAAAGGCAGAAAAAAAACAGACUGAUAUUGAAAGCCAGAGGUCAAUGUACGCAAUCACACAACUGAAACACUGGCUUUAAUUGGCUGCCUGCGCCUUUACAAUGCUGCUGUUCCCAAAAGCUACAAUAGAUUAAUUAAAUUUGUUUCAUUUGUUAAUUAGUUCAGUUUUUUACCCAGCGUCUGUACCAUUUUAAAAGUCAGUUUUAAAUGAUGCGUACAUGUUUUAGUCCACCGGUUCUUCUUUUAUUCUCCUCAUGAUAACUCCACAUCUAUCCAAACCCUCGACCAGACUCUGAUCAUCCAGACCCAACAUGCUGCCUGAUGAUCCUAAUGAGAGAAAAGUCGAUAUGAGUGUGAACCUGACACAGAAAAAACACAAAACCAUUUACAAAAACAAGAACGAGUUGUCUACUCGUCAAAAUCUACAAAAAAAAUCCUCAUUUUACUCCCUCAUCUGUUUGAGAUUUCAGAGGAAUGAUCAAGGCCUACCCUUAAAACGGCGCCCCCUGUGGUAAUAUAUGGUACUGAUGUAAACAAAUGCUGUCUAAUGGGGCGCUCACACCAAGCGCGAAUAAAAUCAUCUGCUCGCUAGACGCGCGAAUGAAAAGUAUUCACUCGCUUCAUUCGCACGUCAACGGUAAUAUUAACAGUAAUCCCUGAUGAUUGAACCUGCGGGAUCAAGUGAUGGACAAAGUUUUUUAUAAUUUACCAGGUAAUCCGACCUCCUCACUCACUUUUUAUUCACGUUUUGUUAAUUGGUAGAAAAGGUAUCAUAUAAUUUGUGGCGCCCACACAACGACACGAUCAGUUUGUCCUCUAUUAUAGAUACCAGUGAACAACCGUCCGUUUUAAUACAUCACCAGGCAACCUUGGUGCUGAUUGGUUAUCGUGACGUGAAUAUCCGCUCAAGUUAAGAAAUGAUCAGCUCCCGCCCAAUUCGCGUCAUUCGCGCCGUCAGAGAAGUAGGAGCGUCUAAUCGCGUCUUUGCAUUGACUUAACAUGUAAUUCAUUCGCGCGAAUGAUUUUACUCACACUUGGUGUGUGGAGACAGUAUUACAAAAUAAUUUAAAGACCAAAUUUUUUUUAGGUCUAGUGAAAAAAUAAUAUUUAGUGCGUAAAUCUUGUUAAAUAUUGGUUUAAAAUAGCUCUUAAAAUCCUAAAACAGCGCCCCCUAUCGAGGUUCCUUUCCCCUACAUGUUUACCCUGCACCUGUAUUCUAAGCUCAACAGGAAGUCAGCUGUUUUGUUUUUAAGGUCUGAUCGCCCAGAUUUAGUGGAUGAAUAUUUAAACAAACUUGUCCGAGUGACGCCCGAUGAAUUAAAGACACGACCAGAUCAAAAGUCGUCGAUAAAGUUGCUGAUGUCAAAAGAUCGUCCCUUCAGCGCAUCAACGUCUGAUGUCCAGCCUUGAAACAGGAAGUCGUAUAAAUGAUAGAAACCUACCCUUGAUUACAGCUAUAUGCUGGUCUUUUAACUGCAGAUAUAGCGCCCCCUGUGGUGAAACCUUAUAUCACAUUUGUUCACUCCUAUCUGCAGACUAGAAAAAGGUUACUACAGUUCUAACUUUUACCCCCCGCCUCAGUCACACCCGAGUUUUCAAACUCACUCCUGUUUUAGUAUUUUUCUUUAUUACCGGCUCGGCUAAAUCGCUCUUCUGAAAUGAAACUGAGGAUUUCAGCGCUGCCCCUCCAGCUCUAAUCGUUGCCAUAGCUGUAAGAUAAACCUUUAAUUUAGCAGAAAUUGGCGUCCUCAGCUGUGACUUUGACAGCGUGUCGUAGAAAAAAAAGAGUCUGCUCCUGUGGCCCUUGUUAGAUGGAGACUCUCCGCACAGAGUCCUCUGCCGUCUUCUGGCGGGCUGAAGAGCGGUUUGAUGUGACCUUUAAUGGCUGGCAGGCCACGGCAGAGCGCAGGACUCAUAAUAAAUGGCAGAACUGCAGCUGACCUUUAAAAAAACCCUCAUAUUGCAUUAAGACCCUUUGAUCACUCGGAUUAUCCACUUCUGUCUGGGGCUUCAUUUGAUCACUCUGACCGGGCGUCCUGCGCCGAGGUGCUGAUAAAACCAAAAUAACGCUCGCCGUGAAAAACACGCCGACUCCUCUGUAAAUGUGUAAUCUCCGCUCAGAGCGUAUGUUUGUGAGGAUUCUCUUUUAAGAAUAUUUUCAGCUGUUUGUUGACAGGUGAAGAGUCUCCUCUGACAGAGUAAAACAGACGAUAGUAGAAAAAAGUCAGAGGUUAUUCUCAAUGACGUGAAUGUCAAACACUCAACUUUCAUGUCACUGAAUCAAUUAACAUAAAAUCUGCCCAGUCCUCCUUACUGGGAGUGAAACACGUCAACCCUGUCAGCCUCUGACGUUUAUCUUACAGGUUUUUAUUUAAAGACGAACGUAUUUGUUGUUUUUCUGCACAGAACAGAACCGAGUGAAUGAAAGAGACGCCUCAGAAAUUCAGGGUUUACUCGAGAAUAUCAGGAUGAAAUGUUCAAAGUUUGAUCAGAUGAGAGGUCUUAAGUCUGUCUGUGAUAAUUCACUCGAACUCAAGCUCAUGUUGACCUCCCUGUUUUGUGAGUUUGGGAUGCAGAGAUUGAGAGAGCGCUACAGAGGGUCAUCUGCUCAGCC